UGGGGGAUAUUGCACAAUGGGGGAAACCCUGAUGCAGCGACGCCGCGUGGGUGAAGAAGCGCCUCGGCGCGUAAAGCCCUGUCAGCAGGGAAGAAAAUGACGGUACCUGAAGAAGAAGCCCCGGCUAACUACGUGCCAGCAGCCGCG
rnacentral:rRNA from 1 species